rnacentral:rRNA from 1 species
UAGGGAAUCUUCGGCAAUGGACGAAAGUCUGACCGAGCAACGCCGCGUGAGUGAAGAAGGUUUUCGGAUCGUAAAACUCUGUUGUUAGAGAAGAACAAGGACGUUAGUAACUGAACGUCCCCUGACGGUAUCUAACCAGAAAGCCACGGCUAACUACGUGCCAGCAGCCGCGGUAAUACGUAGGUGGCAGGCGUUGUCCGGAUUUAUUGGGCGUAAAGCGAGCGCAGGCGGUUUCUUAAGUCUGAUGUGAAAGCCCCCGGCUCAACCGGGGAGGGUCAGUGGAAACUGGGAGACUUGAGUGCAGAAGAGGAGAGUGGAAUUCCAUGUGUAGCGGUGAAAUGCGUAGAUAUAUGGAGGAACACCAGUGGCGAAGGCGGCUCUCUGGUCUGUAACUGACGCUGAGGCUCGAAAGCGUGGGGGGCAAACAGG